AUGGCGGCCUUCUGCAUCUGCGGUGAACCAUCCUUGGAGCUCCUUCUAGUCCCCAGUGAGGAGCCGUCAGGCUCAGGGACCCAGAAACUCAUGUGUUCUGGGUGGGGCUUCAACCCUCAGAUCAAGUGGCUCUCUGGGUGUGAACAGAGGUCUGCAGCAGCCUAUAAGAGAAGGAUGGGGGAAGACGGACAUGUGGCAGUACCCAGUCAUAUCACAGUAACACAGCAGGAGUGGAACCAGGGUAUGGUCUUCACCUGUGAGGUCAUUGACGAGUAUCUUCAGAAAGUCAGGAAGACCAUCAAUAUAUGUGCAGUGACUCCAAUAUCAUCUCAGAAAGUGGGGGUUUACCUACAGGGACCCACUCUUCAAGAGCUGAGGACAGAUGGAACGGUGCCUGUCACCUGUCUGCUGGUGGGUCUCAGCCUUGGGGACUUUUCUGUCAGCUGGAAGGUGGAUGGGGUUGUGGCUUCUCAAGGUGGGGUCACACCGACCUCCAAGGAUCAUUCAAAUGGGACACAGACUGAGCAGAUCAUGUUUAACGUGUCUGUGAGGGACUGGCAUGCACACAAACGUGUGUCUUGUGAGGUGAAGCACCACCGCUCCAGCCAAGCCCAGGAGGAGCAUAUCACCAAAUGCAGAGAUCCCAAGCCACCCUCUAUAAAGAUUGUGAGACCACCAGAUUCUGAUCUAUGGGGGUCAAAUGAUGCCACACUGCUUUGCUUAGUGUCUGGGUUCUUCCCCUCUGAUGUAAUAGUGAAUUGGGAGAAGGUUGGCAGUCGCCUACCUUUAUCUCGCUACUCCAGUAGCCCUUCAGUUCUUUAUGCAGGGAGCAGCACCUACUCCAUGAACAGUAGACUCAUCGUGCCCAGGUCCGAGUGGAAUCAGAACUCCAAUUACUCCUAUGCUGUCAGACAUGAGUCGUCCCAAGAGACCGAUCACCAGCACAUUAGAGAAUGUAUUUGGCUCAGUGACCCCCUCCGCACCAACAGCCACCCUGUUCCAGGGUCCCAGUGAGCUCGUCUGCCUGGUGCUUGGCUUCAGCCCUUCAGACAUCAACAACACCUGGCUGCUGGACAACAUCACAGAGCUGUGGAACAACACUAGCACCCCCUACAGGGCACCAGGAGGAAAGUUCGGCAUCAGGAGUCACCUGAGUCUGGCACACCAGGAUUGGACACCAGUGGCUGUUUACACCUGCAGGGUGACCCACUCCACCCAGACUCUGGCCCUGAACAUAUCCAAACCAGAGCUCCUUGAGGUGGAGGGUGUCUUCUUUGACGAGAACAGGUCUGAUCCCAUUCUGGCAGACACUGCAGAGGAGAACUGGAACAUGGCCUGCAUCUUCCUGGUCCUCUUCCUCAUCUCCCUCAUCUACAGCUUCAAAGUCACUCUGGUCAAGACAAAAUUAUGACUUCAGGACACUUCCAUAUGAUGGAUCUCUAGGAGUUCAACUGGAAAUGAGACCUUUUCUUAUAAAAUCACAACACGUUUCUUUAGAACAUUACAUAGUUUUAAUUUAUGGUUUCCUGUAGCUGGUUUGAUGACAUGGAAGUGUUCUUGUUUUUAUUCCCCACAAAAACAGACAAUGUGGUUGUGCGCUUACUUGCUCUCAUCUCUUGUUAAUGCGUUAUAGAAUUUGAGCAGAGAUGACAUUUUAUUUAUUUAACCACUACUAAAUAAAGCAUACCAUAGCAGUUAUUGCUGAAUUAUCUUCUGAUAAUAAAAAAUAAUUUAAAACUA